rnacentral:rRNA from 1 species
UACAGAGGGUGCAAGCGUUAAUCGGAAUUACUGGGCGUAAAGCGUGCGUAGACGGUUAUGUAAGUCGGGUGUGAAAGCCCCGGGCUCAACCUGGGAAUGCCAUUCGAGACUGCAUAGCUAGGGGUGCGGAAGAGGGAAGCGGAAUUUCCGGUGUAGCGGUGAAAUGACGUAGAUAUCGGAAGGAACACCAGUGGCGAAAGCGG